GACGCUAAUACCGCAUGACAUCCUGCCUUUGAAGAGGUGGAGCUUAAAGCUGGGGAUCGCAAGACCUAGCGCUUAAAGAGGGGCCCGCGCCUGAUUAGCUAGUUGGUGAGGUAACGGCUCACCAAGGCAACGAUCAGUAUCCGGCCUGAGAGGGCGGACGGACACACUGGGACUGAGACACGGCCCAAACUCCUACGGGAGGCAGCAGUGGGGAAUUGUUCGCAAUGGGCGCAAGCCUGACGACGCAACGCCGCGUGGAGGAUGAAGACCUUCGGGUCGUAAACUCCUUUCGAUCGAGACGAACGGCUUCCGGGUGAACAAUCCGGAAGAGUGACGGUACCGAGAGAAGAAGCCCCGGCUAACUCCGUGCCAGCAGCCGCGGUAAUACGGGGGGGGCAAGCGUUGUUCGGAAUUACUGGGCGUAAAGGGCUCGUAGGCGGCCAACUAAGUCAGACGUGAAAUCCCUCGGCUUAACCGGGGAACUGCGUCUGAUACUGGAUGGCUUGAGAUUGGGAGAGGGAUGCGGAAUUCCAGGUGUAGCGGUGAAAUGCGUAGAUAUCUGGAGGAACACCGGUGGCGAAGGCGGCAUCCUGGACCAACACUGACGCUGAGGAGCGAAAGCCAGGGGAGCAAACGGGAUUAGAUACCCCGGUAGUCCUGGCCCUAAACGAUGAAUGCUUGGUGUGGCGGGUAUCGAUCCCUGCCGUGCCGAAGCUAACG
rnacentral:rRNA from 1 species